rnacentral:rRNA from 1 species
CAGCCGCCGCGGGAAUACAGAGGGUGCGAGCGUUAAUCGGAUUUACUGGGCGUAAAGCGUGCGUAGGUGGCUUGUUAAGUUGGAUGUGAAAUCCCCGGGCUUAACUUAGGAACUGCAUCCGAAACUGGCAAGCUAGAGUAUGGUAGAGGGUGGUAGAAUUUCCUGUGUAGCGGUGAAAUGCGUAGAGAUCGGGAGGAAUACCGAUGGCGAAGGCGGCCAUCUGGACUGAUACUGACACUGAGGUACGAAAGCAUGGGGAGCAAACAGGAUUAGAUACCCCCGUAGUCCCUGUCUCUUAUAC